UUUUGUUUAAAAUAAGCUAAGGUUAUAAAUAAUAUUUAUUGUUCUAGUUUUUAUUUCAUUUUCAAUUUUAAUUUAGAAUCGUUUAUUAUAACAAUAAAAACAAUUAUCCUGCUUUCUUCUUUUUUGCUGUCAUUCACCUUAAUCUACUUCUCAAUAAAAUAAGACUUGAUUUUAUACACAGUUAUAACACAAUUCAUGGAAGAACAAGAAGAAUUGUCGAGAGGACAUUUGGUAUUUGGAAACGUAGAUUUUCUUGUUUGUCAAAAGGGCUUACUACAAAAUUGUUAACGUCUACAUCAAUCGUUGUGGCAUAUGCUGUUCUACAUAAUCUUUCAUUAAUUUUAAAUGAUAACUUAAAAGACGAUGAUGAAGAAAUAGUAAAUAUAAAUAAUGAAGUCCCGGUGGCCGAACCUCACUGGCAGCCUGGAGAUGGCAUUCUCAUACGAAAUGCUCUUAUCGAACGACUGUUCAGAUGAAUAAGAAAAUAUUUGCAGAUGACAAAGCUGAAGUUAUACGGACAAUGAAUAUUCAAGUACAGAAGAGACAUGCAAUGAGAGUGAUAUAGAUCGUGAAAAAUAUAUUAAAGAGUCCACAAGUUUUAAAUAUAGAAAAGAAUGCAUGAAUGAUAAUGUAAGUGAAAUAAAGAAGAUACAAUGAUAAUGAUGAAGAUAAAAGUAAAGAAGGAGAAGGAAAAGAAGAAAUUUAGAUGUACAAAUAUGAAGAAUAGAAAUAAAUCUAAUUUUAAAUGGGAUACACUUUUAUUGUGUGUAAACAUAAACUUUUAUUUAUACAUAAACUGUUCGAACAUAACAUAAACUGUUAUUUAUACAUAAAUUGUUUGAAAAUAACAUAAAUUGUUUAAACAUAACAUAAACUGUGAAAACAUUAACUAAUGUUUAUACAUAAACUGUUCGAACAUAACAUAAAGUGUGAAAACAUAAAAACUGUUGUUAAUACAUAAACUUAUAUUAACUAAACUAAAUGUAUAAAAAAACUUACAUAACUAAAUAAAACUCAAUAUUAUAUAU